GAAUUCAUGAACCAUGUCAGGUCCGGAAGGAAGCAGCAUUAAGUGAAACCUCU
rnacentral:SRP_RNA from 19 species